CAAUAGCGUAUAUUAAAGUUGUUGCAGUUAAAAAGCUCGUAGUUGGAUUUCUGGUAGGAUGACUGUGCCCUCAGUAGAGUGUGCGCUGGCGUCUUGCCAUCCUUCUGUUAACCUUUGGGAGCUUCACCGCUCCCUUUGGGGCUCAGAUAUUUUACCUUGAGAAAAUUAGAGUGUUUCAGGCAGGCUAGCGCCGGAAUACAUUAGCAUGGAAUAAUGGAAUAGGACUUUUGCCUCUUCUGUUGGUCAUGGGGUUCGAGUAAUGAUUAAUAGGGAUAGUUGGGGGCAUUAGUACUUCACUGUCAGAGGUGAGAUUCUCGGAUUUGUGAAAGACUAACUUAUGCGAAAGCAUUUGCCAAGGAUGUUUUCAUUAA
rnacentral:rRNA from 1 species